rnacentral:rRNA from 1 species
GGAGCGAGUACAGCGGCGGACGGGUGAGUAACGCGUGGACGAUCUACCCAAGGAUUCGGGAUAACCUUGCGAAAGCGGGGCUAAUACCGAAUGGUCUGGGCAUUUUGAAAUGUGCCUGGUAAAGGUGGCCUCUGAUUCAAACUAUCGUCUUUGGAUGGGUCCGCGUCCCAUUAGCUUGUUGGUAGGGUCAUGGCCUACCAAGGCGACGAUGGGUAGCUGGUCUGAGAGGAUGAUCAGCCACACUGGGACUGGAACACGGCCCAGACUCCUACGGGAGGCAGCAGUGGGGAAUAUUGGGCAAUGGGCGCAAGCCUGACCCAGCAACGCCGCGUGAGGGAAGAAGGUCUUCGGAUCGUAAACCUCAGUCAGGAGGGAAGAAAUGGGUUGUCCUGAACAGGGAUGGCCUUUGACGGUACCUCCAGAGGAAGCACCGGCCAACUCCGUGCCAGCAGCCGCGGUAAUACGGAGGGUGCAAGCGUUAUUCGGAAUCACUGGGCGUAAAGCGCACGUAGGCGGCUUUGCAAGUCAGGUGUGAAAGCCCUCGGCUCAACCGAGGAAUUGCACUUGAAACUGUAGAGCUCGAGUUCGGGAGAGGGUGGCGGAAUUCCAGGUGUAGGAGUGAAAUCCGUAGAUAUCUGGAGGAACACCAGAGGCGAAGGCGGCCACCUGGACCGAAACUGACGCUGAGGUGCGAAAGCGUGGGGGAGCAAACAGGAUUAGAUACCCUGGUAGUCCACGCCGUAAACGAUGGAUGCUAGAUGCUGGGUGUGUAAGACAUUUGGUGUCGGAGUUAACGCGUUAAGCAUCCCGCCUGGGGAGUACGGUCGCAAGGCUGAAACUCAAAGAAAUUGACGUGGGCCCGCACAAGCGGUGGAGUAUGUGGUUUAAUUCGUUGCAACGCGAAGAACCUUACCUGGGCUUGACAUCCCGGGAACCUCCUGGAAACAGGGGCGUGCCCUUCGGGGAACCCGGUGACAGGUGCUGCAUGGCUGUCGUCAGUUCGUGCCGUGAGGUGUUGGGUUAAGUCCCUCAACGAGCGCAACCCUUGUCGUUAGUUUUCAUCAGGUAAAGGUGGGCCCUCUAGGGAGACUUCCGACGUGAACUCGGAGGAAGGUGGGGAGGACGUCAAGUCAUCAUGGCCCUUACGCCCAGGGCUACACACGUACUACAAUGUUGGGUACAAAGGGAAGUCAAGCCGCGAGGGGGAGCCAAUCCCGAAAAGCCUACCCCAGUUCAGAUCUCAUUUUGCAACUCGUCUGCGUGAAGGCGGAAUCGCUAUUAAUCGCGGAUCAGCAUGUCGCGGGGAAUACGUUCCCGGGCCUGGUACACACCGCCCGUCACACCACGAAAGCUGGCUGUACCCGAAGUCAGUGAGCCAACCC